AUGCCCCUCCAUGGUGGUUUAGGAAAUAUGGAAUGUUGUGAAUUGCCAAAUUUUCCAACUGCAUGUAUUGGUGAAGGUAGGGUUUUGAACGGAAUGAUAGUUAUGCCAAGAUUUGCCAUCCCUCCAAAAAUAUUAAUCACCCACUUUGAGGACUUGCCAUUGUGGAAACUACAUAUUCAAAUUUUAUGGAGAACUUUUUCAUUAACAAAUCAUAACGAUAUAAUUACUAGAUUAGAUUGGGUUAUACUUGCUGCGGAAUAUUUUGUACUAGAUUAG